AGGCACUACGGUGCUGAAGCGACAAAUGCCCUGCUUCCAGGAAAAGCCUCUAAGCAUCAGGUAACAUCAAAUCGUACCCCAAACCGACACAGGUGGUCAGGUAGAGAAUACCAAGGCGCUUGAGAGAACUCGGGUGAAGGAACUAGGCAAAAUGGUGCCGUAACUUCGGGAGAAGGCACGCUGAUAUGUAGGUGAAGCGACUUGCUCGUGGAGCUGAAAUCAGUCGAAGAUACCAGCUGGCUGCAACUGUUUAUUAAAAACACAGCACUGUGCAAACACGAAAGUGGACGUAUACGGUGUGACGCCUGCCCGGUGCCGGAAGGUUAAUUGAUGGGGUUAGCGGCAACGCGAAGCUCUUGAUCGAAGCCCCGGUAAACGGCGGCCGUAACUAUAACGGUCCUAAGGUAGCGAAAUUCCUUGUCGGGUAAGUUCCGACCUGCACGAAUGGCGUAAUGAUGGCCAGGCUGUCUCCACCCGAGACUCAGUGAAAUUGAACUCGCUGUGAAGAUGCAGUGUACCCGCGGCAAGACGGAAAGACCCCGUGAACCUUUACUAUAGCUUGACACUGAACAUUGAGCCUUGAUGUGUAGGAUAGGUGGGAGGCUUUGAAGUGUGGACGCCAGUCUGCAUGGAGCCGACCUUGAAAUACCACCCUUUAAUGUUUGAUGUUCUAACGUUGGCCCGUAAUCCGGGUUGCGGACAGUGUCUGGUGGGUAGUUUGACUGGGGCGGUCUCCUCCUAAAGAGUAACGGAGGAGCACGAAGGUUGGCUAAUCCUGGUCGGACAUCAGGAGGUUAGUGCAAUGGCAUAAGCCAGCUUGACUGCGAGCGUGACGGCGCGAGCAGGUGCGAAAGCAGGUCAUAGUGAUCCGGUGGUUCUGAAUGGAAGGGCCAUCGCUCAACGGAUAAAAGGUACUCCGGGGAUAACAGGCUGAUACCGCCCAAGAGUUCAUAUCGACGGCGGUGUUUGGCACCUCGAUGUCGGCUCAUCACAUCCUGGGGCUGAAGUAGGUCCCAAGGGUAUGGCUGUUCGCCAUUUAAAGUGGUACGCGAGCUGGGUUUAGAACGUCGUGAGACAGUUCGGUCCCUAUCUGCCGUGGGCGCUGGAGAACUGAGGGGGGCUGCUCCUAGUACGAGAGGACCGGAGUGGACGCAUCACUGGUGUUCGGGUUGUCAUGCCAAUGGCACUGCCCGGUAGCUAAAUGCGGAAGAGAUAAGUGCUGAAAGCAUCUAAGCACGAAACUUGCCCCGAGAUGAGUUCUCCCUGACUCCUUGAGAGUCCUGAAGGAACGUUGAAGACGACGACGUUGAUAGGCCGGGUGUGUAAGCGCAGCGAUGCGUUGAGCUAACCGGUACUAAUGAACCGUGAGGCUUAACCUUACAACGCCGAAG
rnacentral:rRNA from 1 species